UCCACUUUCUUUUUAAACCAUUUUUAGAUGGAUUUCUGCUCUCAAGGAAAACUGUCUGAAAUGGGCUGGGCUGGAAAGUCAUUUUAUUACCAUGAACAACAGCACCCAAGGCCGCCAAUGUGCAGGAAAAACAGUGGUGCGACACGGCGGCUUCUCUGCCCAUGUGGAAAGACUCAUGGGAGAUUAUCGCAGUGUAGCCUGGGCUGGGACCGAACAAGGGCCCAGCUGUUGAACAGGAAGUCACCUCCAGCACAGCCCUGCACCGCCAGCAGUCCUCCUCACUGCCUGGACGGCAGUUGGUCGAGGGAGCAAAGUCAAAACUGACAUUGAUACAACAAAGUCUUAAUAAAGCUCCCAGUGUGCUCUGGA